AUGACUGAACGCCUCUAAGUCA
rnacentral:ncRNA from 3 species